rfam:Human Coronavirus NL63, complete genome.
CUUAAAGAAUUUUUCUAUCUAUAGAUAGAGAAUUUUCUUAUUUAGACUUUGUGUCUACUCUUCUCAACUAAACGAAAUUUUUCUAGUGCUGUCAUUUGUUAUGGCAGUCCUAGUGUAAUUGAAAUUUCGUCAAGUUUGUAAACUGGUUAGGCAAGUGUUGUAUUUUCUGUGUCUAAGCACUGGUGAUUCUGUUCACUAGUGCAUACAUUGAUAUUUAAGUGGUGUUCCGUCACUGCUUAUUGUGGAAGCAACGUUCUGUCGUUGUGGAAACCAAUAACUGCUAACCAUGUUUUACAAUCAAGUGACACUUGCUG